GGGUUCUUAGCUCAGUUGGUUAGAGCGCUACGUUGACAUCGUAGAGGUCGGCGGUUCGAAUCCGCCAGAACCCA
rnacentral:tRNA from 1 species